rnacentral:rRNA from 1 species
AUGAAAUCGAAAAUAUUCCGAGAUGGCAAAUAUUCGGAGAUGACUAUGAAAACACCUCUCUGGAUCCUCGAAUUGAAAGAGAGAUUGAGAGGGAUCAAGAAUCAACAUAAAGGCCCAAGGUAUGGAAUCCUAGAAAGAGGCUAG